GACGAACGCUGGCGGCGCGCCUAACACAUGCAAGUCGAACGGAGUCAAGAGGAGCUUGCUUUUCUUGACUUAGUGGCGAACGGGUGAGUAACGCGUGAGUAACCUGCCCUGGAGUGGGGGACAACAGUUGGAAACGACUGCUAAUACCGCAUAAGCCCACGGACCUGCAUGGAUCUGCGGGAAAAGGAUUUAUUCGCUCUAGGAUGGACUCGCGUCCAAUUAGCUAGUUGGUGAGGUAACGGCCCACCAAGGCGACGAUUGGUAGCCGGACUGAGAGGUUGAACGGCCACAUUGGGACUGAGACACGGCCCAGACUCCUACGGGAGGCAGCAGUGGGGGAUAUUGCACAAUGGGGGAAACCCUGAUGCAGCGACGCCGCGUGGAGGAAGAAGGUUUUCGGAUUGUAAACUCCUGUCGUUAGGGACGAUAAUGACGGUACCUAACAAGAAAGCACCAGCUAACUACGUG
rnacentral:rRNA from 1 species